rnacentral:rRNA from 1 species
CAACGUAGGUAACCUGCCCAUGUGUCCGGGAUAACUGCUGGAAACGGUAGCUAAAACCGGAUAGGUAUACAGAGCGCAUGCUCAGUAUAUUAAAGCGCCCAUCAAGGCGUGAACAUGGAUGGACCUGCGGCGCAUUAGCUAGUUGGUGAGGUAACGGCCCACCAAGGCGAUGAUGCGUAGCCGGCCUGAGAGGGUAAACGGCCACAUUGGGACUGAGACACGGUCCAA